AAUCUUCCGUAUCCGUGCUGAGAUUUCGUCACAACCAGACCACAAGGCCUGAUGAGACUCCCAAGAUAAAUGAAGCG
rnacentral:pre_miRNA from 1 species